rnacentral:rRNA from 1 species
UACGAAGGGGGCUAGCGUUGCUCGGAAUGACUGGGCGUAAAGGGCGCGUAGGCGGAUGGCACAGUCAGAUGUGAAAUUCCCGGGCUUAACCUGGGGGCUGCAUUUGAUACGUGUGAUCUAGAGUGAGGAAGAGGGUCGUGGAAUUCCCAGUGUAGAGGUGAAAUUCGUAGAUAUUGGGAAGAACACCGGUGGCGAAGGCGGCG